UACGUAGGGCGCAAGCGUUGUCCGGAAUUAUUGGGCGUAAAGAGCUCGUAGGCGGCUUGUCACGUCGAUUGUGAAAGCCCGAGGCUUAACCUCGGGUCUGCAGUCGAUACGGGCUAGCUAGAGUGUGGUAGGGGAGAUCGGAAUUCCUGGUGUAGCGGUGAAAUGCGCAGAUAUCAGGAGGAACACCGGUGGCGAAGGCGGAUCUCUGGGCCAUUACUGACGCUGAGGCACGAAAGCGUGGGGAGCAAACAGG
rnacentral:rRNA from 1 species